GUGUCAGCCGCCGCGGUAAUACGAACUGUGCGAACGUUAUUCGGAAUCACUGGGCUUAAAGGGUGCGUAGGCGGCGGCUCAAGUCAGGUGUGAAAUCCCCCGGCUCAACCGGGGAACAGCGCUUGAAACUGGGUUGCUUGAGUGAGGCAGGGGUGUAUGGAACUUCCGGUGGAGCGGUGAAAUGUGUAGAGAUCGGAAGGAACGCCGGCGGCGAAAGCGGUACACUGGGCCUUGUCUGACGCUGAGGCACGAAAGCUAGGGGAGUGAACGGGAUUAGAUACCCCGGUAAUCCUAGCCGUAAACACUGAGCACUGGAGGAGAGGGGCUUCGGCCUUUUUCCUCGCAGCGAAAGCGUUAAGUGCUCCGCCUGGGGAGUAUGGUCGCAAGGCUGAA
rnacentral:rRNA from 1 species